rnacentral:rRNA from 1 species
AGGUCCGACCUGCCCAGUGAAAAUUUUUAAACGGCCGCGGUAUACUAACCGUGCAAAGGUAGCGCAAUCACUUGCCCCUUAAAUGAGGGCUAGUAUGAAUGGUUUAAUGAGGGUCUAACUGUCUCCUGAGGCUGAUCAAUGAACUUGAUAACUCAGUACAAAUGCUGAGAUAUAAACAUAAGACGAGAAGACCCUGUGGAACUUCAAAUUUUACUGUUGAACACCCAACACAACGGUGACCUCAACAUAAAAUUUAAGUUGGGGCAACUACGGGGCAAAACAAAACCCCCAUGGAAAAUAACUAGUAGUUAUACCACCUAGGCCCACACGCCACAUAUCGCUGCUUCGACCCAGUUCAAACUGAUCACCGAACCAAGCUACCCCAGGGAUAACAGCGCUAUCCCCUUUAAGAGUCCCUAUCGACAAGGGGGUUUACGACCUCGAUGUUGGAUCAGGACACCCCGG